CCAUCUGAAGCACCUUCUCGCAGUCCUUUCCGCAAUGAAAGUUCCUUUAUUUAUCCAGCACGAAAGGGCCAAAGAGACAGGUUUAUCCUCUCACCCAACGAUCCUUUUCUGAGACAGUUCAUCAGAAACAUGGAGAACACAGAGCCUUGCUCGGGAAGGAAGGUUCAGAGAACAAAUCGUCUGUAAACUAUUGGGCAGGACUUGCCUCUUCCAAAGCUAAAAAUGGUGAAGAAAGAUGAUCUUCUUUGGAACUUGGGCUUGAACGUGUUUAUAGGUCUUAGCCCAUUGCGCGGUGUCAUCUCGGGUAAGAAAGGGCUGAAGCGAAGUCUGAGUUGGAUCCUCCUGAUAACACCAAGAAGAGUGUCUCCCCUUUUCCCAAGAACUAGGGAGUAUACUUAACAAGACAAGGGUGAAGUUCCGCAUGUGGAGGGUAACAAAAAUGGACCCAGCCACUGAUAGGAGCUGCUCAUUUCACCUAAAGUAAUCUGUUGUUUUCUGUGCUCUGAAGGUGGUGACCUCAGUGUCCACAAUGGGACGUCCGUGAGUGUUUGCUAGGUUUUGAGACUGAGUGCGCCAAGCCGGUGGAUAGCAUUUCUUCUCCUGGUAGGCCAGGGAAACAUUGAGAUUACUUCAGCAAAAAAUAACUUUUUGGCCAAUAUGUAUCAUCACUCAGAGAUGCAGCCGGUCAAGUUAACAAAGAAAACAGAUAUUUAGUCCUGAAGAAGCUUGGUUAAACUUUUGCUUUAUCUUUUUAUAUCUUGAUACGGUCAUAUGGAAAUAGGUUAUUUCCUCACACUACUUGGCACCUGCUCUGCAAUUGUUUUUGUACUUAUUUGCCUGCUCUGUGAGAUCAUAAGCUUCAUGAGGACAGUUUUUUCUCAUCAUUACAUCCUCGAUACAAUAAAAUUUUUUUGAAGAAAUGAAUAA